CUUGGCUCCUCCCUCCGUGUUUCCCCAUUGGGUUGUGUACCCUGGCCCCGCCUAUGCUCCUCCCCUUGGUUCUUUCUCCAUCGGGCCCUGGCCCUCUCUCCGCCCCUUGUCACCCUCAUACCCUGGCCCCUCCUGUAUUCUUGGCCCUUCACCCCGGAGCCCUUCACGCGUUCGGCAAUAAACUCCCGUGGAACUCUGUGCGAAGGACCCCUCCCGCCUCUUUAUUCCUGCUGGUUCUUACUGGAUGAGAACAGUUAAUAACAGCUCUGAAUUCGUCAGCUUGUGGGACUUUAUGGGUGUCUGACCACAGCUGACUAUGUUUUCUGAAGACUACUGUUAAAAACACCACUUGUGACACCUAGAUCUAUUGAUGUGUUUAUCUUCUUCAGUCAGCAGCUGACCAGCUCUUCCAUGGGUUCUUCCUAUCUUUCUUUAGGUACUUACAGAAUGUUUUCUUGUUCAUCUUAAUGACCCUUGCAAGCUGUGCCUCAUUUUAUACUUAUUUUGUGCUUUCUGCUAUUGUCCAUGAAUGCUUAUCUCCACUUGUCUGUCCCUGGCUUAAUUUGUCCAUCUCCGGAUUUCCUUCCUGUAUUGCCAGCUCGUGACCCAGCCACAGGAAUCUCUUCCUGCAUUUCAUCCUCUGCACUUGCAUAGUUUGUAGUUGUGCCAUUACUGUAAUUUUCUUAAGAGAGCUCCCUACUAGCUCAUUUCCCUCUAUAUAUAGAUUUGCUUUGAAUAGCAAUGCUCUGAGUUUAGUGACACCUUGACAGUGCGGGGAUGGAGCAGACAGCCUCAGUCUCGAGGAUUUCCUCCUCAACAGACUUCGGAUCCUUUCAAGAUCCCCAAUGCCAUUAUAAUUUGUAUUGUGACUGAUUUCACUUCCUACUCACAGAAAACUGCAUCUACCUCAUUUUCACAGAAAAUUUGUCUGCAGAGGAUCCCUGCUAUGGCAGAUGCCUUUAUUACUGUUUAAAGAAUUCCUAUAACUACAUCUGUGUGUUCAGCACUUAAAUACAAAUCUUUCAGUUAUAAAGCAAUUUUUUUUCUGCAAAAGGUGCAUAUUUUGAUGCUAGUAUUCUGACCAUGUAAUAACCUGAUGCAAGAUAUAAGAAAAUAAAUGAUAUGAUCAAUGUAAAGAUUUUGUAAAAAAUAAAAAGCAAGAGUGGACAUAUAUAUGGAAUAUUUGA
rnacentral:lncRNA from 1 species